GAAAACGUGCCCGAAAGAUAGGGUUCUCCUUGAUAGGGAGACUAAUAGGGGUUCAAAUCCCCUCGUUUUCU
rnacentral:tRNA from 1 species